UACGAAGGGGGCUAGCGUUGUUCGGAUUUACUGGGCGUAAAGCGCACGUAGGCGGAUCGAUCAGUCAGGGGUGAAAUCCCGGGGCUCAACCCCGGAACUGCCCUUGAAACUGGAGAGCUAGAAUCUUGGAGAGGCGAGUGGAAUUCCGAGUGUAGAGGUGAAAUUCGUAGAUAUUAGGAAGAACACCGGUGGCGAAGGCGGCCCACUGGCCCGAUACUGACGCUGAGGCACGAAAGCGUGGGGAGCAAACAGG
rnacentral:rRNA from 1 species